GGAUCCCUGUGAUACCUAAUACUGGGCUCCAACCACCCUGAGGACCUUUGACACCUGGAGGUCUGAGGGGCUC